rnacentral:rRNA from 1 species
GACGAACGCUGGCGGCGUGCUUAACACAUGCAAGUCGAACGCUGAAGCUCAGCUUGCUGGGUGGAUGAGUGGCGAACGGGUGAGUAACACGUGAGUAACCUGCCCUCUUCUUUGGGAUAACGCCCGGAAACGGGUGCUAAUACUGGAUAUUCACUGAUUCUCGCAUGGGGGUUGGUGGAAAGGUUUUUUCUGGUGGGGGAUGGGCUCGCGGCCUAUCAGCUUGUUGGUGGGGUGAUGGCCUACCAAGGCUUUGACGGGUAGCCGGCCUGAGAGGGUGACCGGUCACAUUGGGAAUGAGAUACGGCCCAGACGCCGACGGGAGGCAGCAGUGGGGAAUAUUGCACAAUGGGCGAAAGCCUGAUGCAGCGACGCCGCGUGAGGGAUGGAGGCCUUCGGGUUGUAAACCUCUUUCGCUCAUGGUCAAGCCGCAGCUUUGGGUUGUGGUGAGGGUAGUGGGUAAAGAAGCGCCGGCUAACUACGUG